rnacentral:rRNA from 1 species
UACGUAGGGGGCAAGCGUUGUCCGGAUUCAUUGGGCGUAAAGAGCGUGUAGGCGGCCAGGUAGGUCGGUUGUGAAAACUGGAGGCUCAACCUUCAGAGGUCGACCGAAACCAUCUGGCUAGAGUCCGGGAGAGGAGAGUGGAAUUCCUGGUGUAGCGGUGAAAUGCGCAGAUAUCAGGAAGAACACCCGUGGCGAAGGCGGCUUGCCAGAACGCGCUCGACGGUGAGGGAUGAAAGCUGGGGGAGCAAACCGG